CCUAACCGACUGAGCCACCCAGGUGCCCCUAGAUUGUAAUUUUUAAAAAACUCGUCCAAAUGGGCAUGAAUACCCGCAAUUAGUCACAGAUUUUUUUUUCUAAUGAAACUGGUUUUGCUCCUGUUUUUUGGAAGACUGAAUCCAUGAUGAAAAUGAUGUGUUUUUGGCUCCUUAAAAAGAUGGGGCUGGUGAGCCCAGAGCUUCCCUCUGGCAAUAGGUUUAAUGAAGAGAGGCUUGUGCUAAUCUGGUUACCAGUCGCCCCUAUUGAGGAGAAGGUGGAAAAGUCUUUUUCGCAUCCUGAAAUUCUGAAAAAGUUAGCGACAAAUCUUCAAUGGAACCUUUGCCUCUUCAGCCAUUUACUGUAUUGAUUCACCUACCGUGGGGCGAAGUUCAGUGGUGUGACCCAACGGUCAGGACCCACGGCGUAUGAAGCGUUAAUCACCCAUUAGCCUACCUACUCCCAUGACCUGUUGAUCCAUCAGCUUGCUUACAAGAAGAGAGCUAAAUGGUCCUAAGAGGUAUUUUAUAUAACCCAAAAAAUGUCCAUGAGAAGUUGAUCCUCGGAUGAAAAAGGAAGUAGGAAACACUUUCAUUGAUUUCCAAGGCAUUUUACUGCCUUCCACUGCAGAGCGGGUGGAUGAUUGAGGGAACGGCACGCACUUUUCCCCAGCACCCCCUGACAACGCUGGUGAAGUGACUCGACGAACUCGGAUUCCUAAAAAAGGAGGGGGCAUCAAAAAUGAUUUCUGCAGAUCUUGGGAAUGCGUGAUAUCAAGCCCAAGUUGUAACCAGGCUUCAUUUACUAAGUGCUGCAUUACCUCAUCCUGUAGUUUAACUAUGGAUUUUCUAUAAAUCUUCAUACGGCCAAACAUGAUAAACUGCUCAACACAUCACAGAACAAGGCAGCGCUUAUUAGCACUUGAGAAGUUAUUGAUCGCUGGUCUUGAUUAAUCUUUUAUGGGUCUCCGUAGUAUUAAUUCCAGAGGCUAGACCGGGGUACCCACGGCGGGGCCCAUUCACAGUUUCUGUUUCAAUUACGAGGUUUUUGACGCCUGCAGCGAUUAUUCUAAUUGUGACUUUUCUAGUACAGAUUGGUUUUGGUCUCUAUUUAUCAACAAUGAGCAUUUUAAAAUUAAAUUUAUUUUCAAGACAUGGCAGGAAGAUGAAAAGUGUGUUCCAAAAGGGUGUUUCAUACUUAAGGGUAAAAAGGAAUUUUUAUGUAUGUUUUAAAAUAAAAUUUACUUUUCUUGAUUA